GGGCCUGUCGUUCAACGGAUAGGACUCCCGGCUUCGAACCGGGCGAUGAGGGUUCAAUUCCUUCUGGGCCCACCA
rnacentral:tRNA from 2 species